UACGUAGGGGGCUAGCGUUGUCCGGAAUCAUUGGGCGUAAAGAGCGUGUAGGCGGUCCGGUAAGUCCGCUGUGAAAGUCGGGGGCUCAACCCUUGAAUGCCGGCCGAUACUGUCAGGCUAGAAUCCGGAAGAGGCGAGUGGAAUUCCUGGUGUAGCGGUGAAAUGCGCAGAUAUCAGGAAGAACACCAAUGGCGAAGGCAGCUCUCUGGGACGGUACUGACGCUGAGACGCGAAAGCGUGGGGAGCGAACAGG
rnacentral:rRNA from 1 species